rnacentral:tRNA from 1 species
AGCAGUGGGGCAUAGUGGUUUGAGCGUUGGACUAUAUGACUCUGGAGACCAGGGUUCAAUUCCCAGCUCGGCCA